AAUGAAGUAGAGCAGAUGCAUCCCGGGGGUUCCUGUGUAGCGAAGGGUCCGGGCGGGCUCGCGGCGGCGGUUUCUAGAGCCAGGGCGCUGCGGUCCUCCCGGCCGCCGGGGGCGCUGCGGGGCGAGCGCGAUGGGGCUGGGCCGCGGCUCCGCCCGCCGCCCCCUCAUCCCCGCAGCCGCGGCGCCGGCCGGGCUGUUCCGGGAGGGCCGGGCCCGGUUCCUCGUCUCGCCGUCCCGCGGCGGAAGGCACCGCAGCUCCCCAUGUCUUCAGAGGACAGAGAAGCUCAGGAGGACGAGCUGCUGGCUUUGGCCAGCAUUUACGAUGAGGACGUGUUCAAGAGAUCCGAGUCUGCCCAGGGGGGAGAAACAAGGAUUUUUCUGGAGCUGCCCCAAGACUUCAUCGUUUCUGUGAAUGGCAAUUCCGCAGAGACCCUCCAGAGCCCCCGCAGCGAAUACACCGUCAGCUUUCUGCCUCCCCUUGUGCUGAAUUUUGAGCUCCCACCUGACUACCCGUCGACCUCCCCACCCGUGUUCACGCUCCGUGGAAAAUGGCUCUCCCAAGCCCAGCUCAGCACUCUUUGCAGGCACUUGGACAACAUAUGGGAAGAGAACCGAGGCUCCGUGGUCUUGUUUGCCUGGAUGCAGUUUCUGAAGGAAGAAACGCUGAGUUAUCUGCAGAUUUCCUCCCCGUAUGAGCUCAAGAUGUGCCAUGGAGGGAGCGGGCAGAGUGGGCCGCCGCCGGUCCCUCCCGACGCUGAGCAGCGCGGGGAUGCAGCGUGCGCAGCCGCGGCUGGGGCAGAAAUCCUCGAUGCCAGAGCCGUGCAGGACGUGGAGUCGCUGUCCAGUCUGAUCAGGGAAAUCCUGGACUCGGAUCAGGCUCAGAGGAGGAAAUGCUUUGACAGCAAGAUGUUCUUGUGCAGUAUCUGCUUCUGCGAGAAGCUGGGCAGCGAGUGUAUGUACUUCAUGGAGUGCAGCCACGUGUACUGCAGAGCGUGCCUGAAGGACUACUUCGAAAUCCAGAUCAGGGACGGGCAGGUCCAGUGUCUCAACUGCCCCGACUCGGAGUGUUCGUCGGUUGCCACUCCCGGCCAGGUGAAGGAGCUGGUUGGAGAGCAGCUGUUUGCGCGGUACGACCGCCUGCUGCUGCAGUCCACCCUGGACACGAUGGCAGACGUGGUGUAUUGCCCCCGCCGCGGCUGCCAGACCCCGGUCAUGAAGGAUCCCGAGAGCAUCAUUGGCAUCUGUUCCUGCUGCAACUACGCCUUCUGUACGUUCUGUCGAAUGACGUACCACGGGGUCUCUCCGUGUCGACUCACGGCAGAGAAAUUAUUGACUUUGCGACAAGACUAUUUAGAAGCAGAUCAAAAGACUAAAAGACUUAUGGAACGAUGCUAUGGGAAACGAGUGAUUCAGAAAAUCCUGGAGGAGAUGGACAGUAAAGAAUGGCUGGAAAGCAACUCCAAGCCCUGUCCUAGCUGUGCUGCCCCCAUAGAGAAAAUAGACGGUUGCAACAGGAUGAAUUGUACAAGCUGCAAGAAGAAUUUCUGCUGGACUUGUAGGGGUGUUCUGUCAGACGAGGACCCCUACGCACACUACAGUGACCCAGCUUCCCCCUGCUUUAACAGACUUCACAGGAGGGCCUGACACCAACAAUAGAAAAAACCAGGAGUGAUUUGGGAUAUGGCUUUUACACAACGUUUCCUUAAAACCCUGGAGACGCGCGCUGGGGCUGCUCCUGCCUGCCCUGCUGCUGUGCCGAGAGACAGCCCGGAGGGCCGCGGUGCCUCGCGGACGCUCAGGUUGUUUCACAUGAUGCUUGUUGAUGGUGAGCCCUUGGAACCUGGAGAUUGAAACCCAGUGGCCUUCUUGAGCAGGAAAAGCCGAACAAACGCGAGACAGAUGCUUUCCAUUUUGGUCACGUUUGUUCUCUUUUCUCUCCGGUACGUGGCACAGGAACGGUAACUGCCGUGCGCUGCAGCAUCCGCGCGCUUCAGAGGCUGUUGCCAAAACCAAAGCAGCCGUUUUACCCGUCCUGCGGUCAGGAUCACCGUGGGAGCCCCUGCCAGUCAUAUCGAGUGUUAAAGACAAAUACAGCCAGUCAGAAGUGGAAAAGUACAGAAAAAAUGUAUGAUGAGGAAGUGCCCCUUUUUCAAAAGCAAACGAGCAAAACCAAAUCCCAAGUCACUGAAAUGUUGGGGAGUUUCCUUCAAGGAGACAGACCUUUCGAGUAUCUUUUGCUUCUCUGGCCUUUCCUGAGCUGUUCUCUGAAAAGCAGCUCGUUGCUCUGUCGCUGAUGCUUCCCAACGGUGGGGAAGCUGAUCCUCCCCGCCCCUGCCCGCUGGCUGUGCCGCCGGGCUCUGUGUGUCGCCCAGAGCUUUGGCAGGAGCGCCCAACCACGUUCCAGACAUUGGAGCAGUUUGACUUAUCUCUGUGUUGUCGAUCAGAUUUUGAAAUGCACUUUCAUGGAUACAUAGUUAAGAUUAAUACUUCAAGAUAUUGAAAAUUACCUUGUCUUCUCAGAUUAUUAAGUAAUUUAUUUUUUACUAAUUCUUCAUAUUAGAAUUUUGAUGAGCUGAUAGUUUUCCUUCUUGAGUGGAUCCCUUAUUUCCAUUGUGCUUGCACUUCAAAUUAUUUCAGAAACCAAAUUGUUUCCCCUAAGAUCUCUGUUUUUUCAGCAUAAAAGUAAUUCCUGGAGGGAAGCACUAUUUUUUAAUAAAGUUUUCCACUUGCAGAA